UUUCACAUCUCGGCAGGUAACAAAGAUAUUCUUCUUAAAUAGCCAUGGUGGUGAUGACUGACAUGCACAUAUGCAGUAUUUCUCGUUUGCCGAGAG
rnacentral:misc_RNA from 1 species